rnacentral:ribozyme from 13 species
GCGCAAAAAAAAAAAAAAAAAAAAAAAAAAAAAAAAAAAAAAAAAAA